rnacentral:rRNA from 1 species
ACGAACGCUGGCGGCGUGCUUAACACAUGCAAGUCGAACGGUGAAGCGCCUUCCUUUUGGGGGGGGUGGGUUGGGGGGCAACGGGUGAGGUACCCGGGAGUAAACUUGCCCCUUCCUUUGGAAUACCGCCAUGAAGGGUGGCCAAUACGGGGUAUUCUUGGUCUGGUCCCUGGUUGGUCUGGGGAAGGUAUUGUUUUGGUGGGGGGUGGGCUCGCGGGCUAUCAGGUUGUUGGUGGGGUGAUGGGCUUCCGAGGCGGUGACGGGUAGCCGGCCUGAGAGGGUGGACGGUCACACUGGGACUGAGACACGGCCCAGACUCCUACGGGAGGCAGCAGUGGGGAAUAUUGCACAAUGGGCGCAAGCCUGAUGCAGCGACGCCGCGUGAGGGAUGGAGGCCUUCGGGUUGUGAACCUCUUUCGCCAGUGAAGCAGGCCUGCCUCGUUUGUGGGUGGGUUGACGGUAGCUGGAUAAGAAGCGCCGGCUAACUACGUG